rnacentral:rRNA from 1 species
UACAGAGGUCUCAAGCGUUGUUCGGAUUCAUUGGGCGUAAAGGGUGCGUAGGCGGCGCGGUAAGUCGGGUGUGAAAUCUCGGAGCUUAACUCCGAAACUGCAUUCGAUACUGCCGUGCUUGAGGACUGGAGAGGAGACUGGAAUUUACGGUGUAGCGGUGAAAUGCGUAGAUAUCGUAAGGAAGACCAGUGGCGAAGGCGGGUCUCUGGACAGUUCCUGACGCUGAGGCACGAAGGCCAGGGGAGCAAACGGGAUUAGAGUAC